UUGCAAGAAGAGUUACAGUUGCUCAUUCUAAUGAGAAGUAAACCUGAAAGUAGUUCCUCUGUUAUUCAUGUUCCAGUCUGGGUGAUUUCAAGGUUCACAGGUGCCAAAACAGGCUGGGAUCUUAAAACUGUCCUAUGUGUGCCAGUGAGUUCCUACGGCAAAUCAGAGUCCUUGACUAGCAUCAUCCAAAUACACCUCAGCAAUUUCUCUGAUGUGACAGAGCUGACAUGGGACCUAUUAUGAUAAUUCUAUACUGUGAAAGUCCUUGGCGAGUACACUACUGGCAAAGAUGGUUUUGGAAUGGCCUUAUACAGUGGAAAUAAGAUGCAGUAGCUUUUGGUGCUACUGCACAUCACACACUAAUUAUUAUGGGUUGUCAUCCACAUGCAGAAAGUGGUACUGUUUCCCUCUUAAAUAAUCUAUAAAUCUGCAGUUCAUGGCCUAUCCGCACUUAAAAAAAUGACACAGUGCUGACAGCAGAAAAUCACAAACAUCUCAAGGAGGACAUUUCUGGUGUGUGCUUUUGAAGGACAUAGGGAUUUUAGCAAUGAUGCAAGCA
rnacentral:lncRNA from 1 species